rnacentral:rRNA from 1 species
CGCCUUGCCAGCCCGCUCAGAACUUAAAGGAAUUGACGGGGCCCGCACAAGCGGUGGAGUAUGUGGUUUAAUUCGAUGCAACGCGAAGAACCUUACCUGGUCUUGACAUCCCGGAGACCCUUAGGAAACUAGGGGGUGCUUCCAUCUGGAAGAAUCUGGAGACAGGUGCUGCAUGGCUGUCGUCAGCUCGUGUCGUGAGAUGUUGGGUUAAGUCCCGCAACGAGCGCAACCCUUGCCCUUUAGUUGCCAGCAGUUCGGCUGGGCACUCUAAAGGGACUGCCGGUGUUAAACCGGAGGAAGGUGGGGAUGACGUCAAGUCCUCAUGGCCUUUAUGACCAGGGCUACACACGUACUACAAUGGCCGAUACAAAGGGCAGCGACACUGCGAGGUGAAGCCAAUCCCGUAAAAUCGGUCUCAGUCCGGAUUGGAGUCUGCAACUCGACUCCAUGAAGUUGGAAUCGCUAGUAAUCGUGGAUCAGCAUGCCACGGUGAAUACGUUCCCGGGCCUU